AUGCAUUCGGCAGCUGAUGCAGACCUUACUUCGCAUGCUGAAUUCUUCAUCAACAAUGUCAAAGAGACAUGGCACCGUCAUUACGAACACUCAAAGGUCCAGAUCAGACAUUUCCCGGUUGAGUACGUGGCGACUACGAAUCAAGGGAACACACGGACUAUGGCUUUCACACGUUGGAAUACUUUGCAAAGUGGGAAGGUAGACUUGUCCCCGCUGUCAUGGCUGCAACGGUCGUUGAGCUCCGGAAAAUCUACACAUGGAACUGGUUGA
rnacentral:rRNA from 1 species